rnacentral:lncRNA from 12 species
GUGACCUAAUUAUGAUUUUCCUCCACCUACUGCUCACAUGAAAGCCACUCUGAAUGAGUCGUGACAAAAAUAUGGGAGGGGAGAGAGCUGGCAGUGAAAAACUGGAAUUCUUGAAAAGUGAGGUUAUAACUGGCGAUUGACAGUUUCCUCAACUAUAAUCACGGAAGACACCUAAAAUCUUGACAAUAGUCGCUGGUCUAACUGAAGUCUA